CUUUUGAUAUUAAUAAUUUAAGGUCUGGCCUGCCCAAUGAGUUGUUUAAAUGGCCGCGGUAUUUUGACCGUGCAAAGGUAGCAUAAUCAAUAGUUUUUUAAUUGAAAGCUGGAAUGAAGGGUUGGAUGAAAAAGUUACUGUCUCUAUUUAAAUUUUUUUGAAUUUUAUAUUUAAGUCAAAAAGCUUAAAUGUUUUUAGAAGACGAGAAGACCCUAUAGAGUUUUAUUAAUUUGUUAGAAGGGGGUUUUAGUAUUUAUAUUUUUUUAUVGUACAUUAAUUUAGUUGGGGUGAUUAAAAAAUAUAAUAAACUUUUUUUGUAGAUAUACAUUAAUUUAUGAUUAAUUGAUCCUUUAGUUUAAGAUUAUAAGAUUAAAUUACCUUAGGGAUAACAGCGUAAUUUUUUUAGAGAGUUCUUAUCGAUAAAAAAGAUUGCGACCUCGAUGUUGGAUUAAAAUAAAAAUUUGGUGUAGAAGCUAAA
rnacentral:rRNA from 1 species